AGGAGGCGGUUGGGGAGAGCGAGGCUGUCAGGUGGAGCAGCUCGCUUGCAAUGGCUGGGAGAAGUCAAAGCCCCCGACAACAUUAGCAUCGCAGCGCCCGCGGCUCUUUCUUCCAAUCGAGGCUGUCGCUCUUUCACUGGCAGCAGAACUGGUCUGGACCCCCCACCGUCUUCUGACCUUUGCUCCCCCUUCCUGCUUCCCUCCUCUUCCAACACACACACACACACACUGCAUAAGGCUGCAAUUCAGCUAACAACCAACUCAUCACACACAAAUCCAAUCUGUGCCCCACCAGAUGGCACUGUUUUUAUUACCUUACAUGUAAUUUAUAUGAAAUACAGAGCAGUAUUCCUGUGUGUGCACUACAGUUGUCCCGAUACCUAUAUUUUAGUACCAAUACCAGAAUGUAUUUCGAUAAUUUUCUAAAUAAGGGGGACCACAAAAAAUUGCGUUAUUGGCUUUAUUUUACCAAAACAUCUUAGGGUACAUUAAACAUACACUAUAUUGCCAAAAGUUUUUGGCCACCUGCUUUGACUCACUUAUGAACUUGAAGUGCCAUCCCAUUACUAACCCAUAGGGUUCAAUAUGAUGUCGGUCCACCUUUUGCAGCUGUUACAGCUUCAACUCUUCUGAGACCAUUCUUCCAAAGGCGCAUUGGUGAGGUCACAGACUGAUUUUGGUCGAGUAGGCCUGGCUCUGUCUCCAUUCUAAUUUCAGUGCCGAUCAAAAACGCCGAUCCUCUCUGGCUAAUAUCGGAUUUAUUUUUAGUACCCUAUAGGUCUGUGCGAUAAUUGCCAUUUUUCUUUCCAAAAUUGCGAUUUUUACCGCAAAAUAACGUGUGAUGAAGGAAAUGUUACUUUUAGACUGUCUAUCAACAUAUUAUUCUUUCAAGGUGCCACAAAUUAGAACAAUAUUCAAUGAUUUACUUAAAUAUUUUGCGAUAUGCAGACAUUUUUGCUACAUCAGUGGUUCUCAAACUUUUUUCACCAAGUACCACCUCAAAGAACAAUUGGCUCUCCAAGUACCACCAUAAUGACCAGCAUUAAAAUACAGUAGCAUAGUAGGCCGAAGUAUUUAUUAAAACAAAGCAGAUGUUUUAUUUAUUUAUAUUUAGUAUUUUUGGCCAAUGUGACAUUACACGCUAUGUAGAACAAUAAAACAUUGUACUUUAAUCAAGUGAUUAUUUGGCAUAUGGAACAUUCAAUCAGACAUUAUUGUGAGGUUUUGUAUUAGUGUUCCUAAAAAUCAGAUAUACCGGCCCCCAGACACAUUUUUUUCUCUAAAUUUGGCCCCGCGAGUCAAAAUAAUUGCCCAGGCCUGGUCUAAAAGAUGCUGUAUGUGUAGGUAUACC